rnacentral:lncRNA from 1 species
CAAAUUUAUUGCAUGAAAAGCAUUCAAAACUGUUAAAGAUUUUGAUAUUAUUAUCUAACAAUGAUUUUCCUGGCUAUUUAUUUGAUAUUGGAAAUUGAAAACAAUAAACUACAAUUUUUUUAAUGUUAUAAAUAGUGUUAACUUUAAAAAUGCAAGAAAAAACGACUGUCAAAAUUUUCCUUGAAUUGAUGCCCUAGUUAAUGCAACAGAAUAAUACCUAGGAACUAACCAAUAAUUUACAGUGCAAUUUCAGAUUUCACAUGCAAAGUUAUACACCUUUUAACCUGUGUACUUAGUACUUGCCAAUUUCUAUUGAAAUUUAUAAAGAGCUGUUUCAGACUGAGACUGAAUUUCAGAGAUUUUUAAACUAGUCAUCUGAAGCAAGCUGUUGAAUUCAGCAAUAUUGAUACCAGUGACUAACAUAGUAAAACACAACUACAGUUAAAAUUCAAAUUGAACUGGCUAAUUACAGGAAAAUUGGAUGAUACCAGUUAUUAUUUGAGGAUGAAAUGUUUAGUAAUACUAUACGCUUUAACAUGUUGAUCUGUUAACUUUGUUAUUUUAUAAGUUUAUAAAUUGUAGAAUAAAGCUUGAAACUAA